rnacentral:lncRNA from 1 species
UAGAGUUCAAUGGUUAAAUGAAGGAGAUAAAAAUACUUAUUUUUUUCAUAUGUCUACUCUUCAGAAAAGAAAUGAAGAAUAUAAUUAAAGGAAUUGAGAAUGGAUCAGGAUAAUGAAUUUGGGACAAAAAUGGUAUGGUAAAGAAAAUUGAGGAUUUCUAUUCGGAGCUACUUACUACUUCUAAUCAUUCCUCCUUAUCUCAUAUUCUUC